rnacentral:snoRNA from 1 species
ACGACCUUACUUGAACAGGAUCUGUUCUAUAGGCUUGUACCUCUGUAUUCUUGAUUUCUAAGAAGACAGAAACCCAUGUCUGGUUGAUGAACCAAGACCAUGGAGCCAGAGCGUGAUUAACAGAGCCUUUGGUCUAGACCCAUGGCUCAGUAGAGGAUCGUUGCCAGCCCAUCUAAUGGGUCCUGGCAUGGCUCCAUGGUUGUCUGACCAGACA